GCAGUCGAGGGGCAGCGCAGUGUAGCAAUACAUGGGCGGCGACCGGCAAACGGGUGCGGAACACGUACGCAACCUUCCUUCAAGUGGGGAAUAGCUUUCGGAAACGAAAAUUAAUACCCCGUAAUACGGUUGAGAUGGCAUCAUCUUAUCGUUAUAGAUCCGUCGCUUGAAGAUGGGCGUGCGCCUGAUUAGGUAGUUGGCGGGGUAAUGGCCCACCAAGCCUACGAUCAGUAACUGGUGUGAGAGCACGACCAGUCACACGGGCACUGAGACACGGGCCCGACUCCUACGGGAGGCAGCAGUAAGGAAUAUUGGUCAAUGGACGCAAGUCUGAACCAGCCAUGCCGCGUGGAGGAUGAAGGUCCUCUGGAUUGUAAACUUCUUUUAUCGGCGAAGAAACCCUCACAUUCUUGUGGGGUUGACGGUACCCGAUGAAUAAGCACCGGCUAACUCCGUGCCAGCAGCCGCGGUAAUACGGAGGGUGCAAGCGUUAUCCGGAUUCACUGGGUUUAAAGGGAGCGUAGGUGGGCUGGUAAGUCAGUGGUGAAAUCUCCGGGCUUAACUCGGAAACUGCCGUUGAUACUAUCAGUCUUGAAUAUUGUGGAGGUAAGCGGAAUAUGUCUUGUAGCGGUGAAAUGCUUAGA
rnacentral:rRNA from 1 species